GUGAGUUUUAGUGACGUGAUGGAGAUAGAUAUUUGAAUGCAUGAAGUCAAGGAGGAAAUUAAUAGUGAAUAAAAGGACACAGCAAAUGGAGGAAGAAAGGGAAACAUGGAUGAAUUACUCAAAGAGUGGGAUUUAAAAAGAAACUAUCUGAGACAGCUGGAAGAAAAAGAUUCUGCUGUCGAUGGACUGAUAAUUA